GAGAGGAGCCCUGACUUGUUAGAUUCCUCUCUGUCCUUGUCAUCAGAAUGGAUGCCCAAGGCAAUGGAAAUUCUACUUCUUAUUAAGGCUGCUGGACACCAAGGUGAAUCUUUGAAGUGAGUCAGCUGCAGCUUCGCUCUCCUAUAAUUGAAGAGAGAGAGAAUUACAGAGAAAGAGGCCAGGCACUCUUUCCUCCAGACAAAGCUGUGGUUUCAAUUUCUCAUUCCCUACCGAGAGACGGGGAGAAUACAUUGAUACUGCAUUUCAAAUUGGCUAGAUCAGAAGGAACAGCAGCUAAAAUCCAUUACAACCCAAUUACAUCCAUCAGCUGAAGCUGUGUGCAUUCACUCGUGAACAUCAGCAUUUAAUCCAUAAAGAGGAACUAAUGAGAAAUUUGAAAAUGGAAUCCACGCAUCAGUAAGUUUGGAGAGAUUUUUCUGGGAUUAAUGAUCUGCCAGAGCAUCUUCAACAUGCUGGAAAGCUAUUCUCUCUGGGUUUGUUUACUGACCAAGAGAAAAAAAUAAGGGGGUUUCCUUCUGUCUACUCAUCAAAUAUUUGAAAGACUUGACUCAUCUUAGUCCUUGAAAACGGGAUGUCGUGUGCUUUGGAAAUAAGGAAAUUUGAUGCUUACAAAAAACAUAGAAGAAUGGAGUCAGGGGUUGCCACAGCAUUAAAGAAUCCAAGGACAAUGGUCACAGCUGCAAUCCAGACGCCAAGAAGCUGCAGCUGCUGCUACUUCGGCUGCGCAUGUAACUGCCUCUCAAUAGUUUGGGCAGAACUGGUGACGAGACAAAAACGGGAAGUAUGCUACAAGUAA
rnacentral:lncRNA from 1 species